rnacentral:misc_RNA from 1 species
CUGUCGCACCCCACCCGCCUCGCCUCGUCGGCUCACGGACAGAGCGGUGACAACUCCUCCGCCUCCUUCCUGGCCGCUGAGGGCCAAGACCGCGAUAGCGAGCGGUCCACCUCCACUGCGAGAGGAAGGCGCAGGCCUCUAACUCGCCUUCUUGGCGGUGCCACCCAGGAUGGCAUGAGCGGCGGCGACGACGCCUCCUGGCCAUCGACAUGGGCCACAGCUCCACCCCGACGUGCUUCUCUGUGCAUUGGCACUUCUUCGUCCUUGGGUAGGACUAGGCCGCAGCAAAGCGCCGAACACAGGCCGACAACGAUGCCAUUGCUGCUCCCUAGAUUCACUUCACAUCGUCCAUGGCCGCCGCUGCUCGCGUGGCAAUCUCACGGCCCCCACCUCUCCCUCUCCCUUCCUCCUCGAGCAGCAGGGCGUGUAACCUGGUUGCUGGGAGGAGCAGCGACCCCAGCGCCACCGCUCGCGCGGCCCUCCCGGCUCCCGCAGCCCCCACCUCUCCCUUUCCCUUCCUCCUCCAACAGCAGGAUGCGAAACCUGGUGGCUGGGAGGAGCAGAGACCCCGGCGUUAGGGCUUCUACCUCCACCGCUGGCGCGUAUAAGACCACCGCGUCGACAACCUCAGGCGCCACCGUGUUUACGGCCCCAACCGCCACGACGAGGGGACGCCGGCAAGGUUGA